GUCGUCUCUCCUGCAGCACCUGCUACUCGCUGCUGUUUCAGCUGUCCUCUGAGCCACCCUGGUGCUUAGCAAAUCCCAGCCCUACCGCUUCCUGCCCCAGAUAUUGAUGUCAGAUAUCCAAUAUAUAUUCACUAAAUUAUCUUCAUUCUCUUGGAAGAAAGGACCUUACAUUUUUUAAAGUCCAGUAUAGACAAUUUCUCCCCUCACUAAAACAUAACCUGUAAGUACAAGUUCUCUAAUCUACAAGAAAAGCAAAUGAAUUUCCUAUUUGGAAACAUAACAAACAUAACAAAUUCAAUGAAACAAGAGAAAUAAGGCUUAAUACCUUAGGGCACAAAUUUAAUUUAUUUCAGAUUUACCCCACCAGUGCUGUAAUUCUGUUGAUGCAAAGGUGAAGCUCAACUUUGAAGAUAUAGUUGCAGCAAAUCAAAUUGAGAAAAGAACAAAGAAGCCAAAUGAAAAAGGGAGAGAGUAAAACAUGGUGAGAUACCUUCCUUGCUGGUUCCAGGCUACAUUCAGUUUCUUCCUCCUCCAGGUCAGCCGGUUUGACCAGGACCUUGUACCUUCCCAC
rnacentral:lncRNA from 1 species